AGCCUUCCAGAAAUGGUAAAUUGACCAUUUUGUCCUCGAUUUCAAUCAUUAAUAACAUCUUCGUUAUAACUUCGUUUCAUGAAUGGUUUGCGCCUACGCAUUCGUGAGAUCGAGCUCUAUCCAAAUACACUAAGAAAUAUGAUAAAAUAUAUGAGGAUAAAAUACGUCCUCGUAUAAUUCAAUUUAGCCAACUAGGGCAUUUUCAUCUUUUCCACUUCCCAAAAAAAUUUCCACAUAAUCAUAUAUAUUAAAUAUUUCUAGGGUAUUACACGUUGUCUCAAAUAAAUUUUGAAGAUGGCCCAUUACCAUACCAAUGAUCCAAAUGCCCAAUAACUGUCAUGGAUCAAAGAGGGACCUGACUGAAUGAGGCCCAAUGGGACCAUCUGAGUUUCUGGACCCUGAAUAUAUAAUUUUACUCUAAAUCUCAGAAAUAAGGAUUUAAAAUUGAGUGCAAAAAGGCGGACGCACUUUCUUGGUUAAUUGAGUUUCUGAACCAGGAAGAUAUAUAUCUCUACCUAUUUUAAUACGAGAAAAUAUCAUGCAUUGUGCAUCUUGGUUGUACUUAAAAGGUCAAGAAAACCUGACCGAGAAAAAAAACUAAGAAAACAAUAACAGACCAUUGUGCCAUGAGUUGUCGGCUUGAGUCACCUUUUCAUGCUUCUUUGUGUUUUUAUUGUUGUUUUGUUUCAUUAGUUAGCAAUUAUCGUACAUGAAAUUUGAAUUUAAUUCUUCCUCUGAUGAAACGAACAUUGAACACUAGACCAAAUCCAUACGAACUUCCUAUUCAUUUUAGUUGGACAAUCUCUAAAGUGGUUCUUUUGAUAAUCUGGCGCGUUUUGAACUUCGUUAACUUGUCAACUUGUAAAGGCAGAACAUAUCAAUCAAAGGCUGUCACUAAGAACUCUCCACAACCAUGAUCAAUUGAGCACAAUUACCCUCUUUCUUUGUCCACCAAAGAGUCGUUUUUAUGAGCAACAUGGCAGCUCUUUGAUUUUGGGCCAGUUUUGAUGGCACGGCCCACAGAAAACAUCCCAACGUGCUUGCCUUCCUCAUUCAUGGGUAAAUACAACUUUUGGUUUCACCAAAGUCCAUUGCCACGAUACCCAAUUCGCCCUCGUGCGAGUCUGAUCCAUAGACCCCAAUAUUGCAAUAAAAUGAUUUUGUUAUCAUCUUAAGUGGCUCGCGUUUUGUCCACAUGAGAAGAACAAAGUAAUGAAUUCAAAAUUUGAAAAUUUAGCAAAAGAGAUAAUGAGCUAUUUAUUGAAGUUGAUCAAAGUCUCUAGGACUCGGACUGUUUAUAAUAAUAAUAAGGGAAAACUUGAUAUAAGUCCAAUUUAGCCAAUUGUAGGAAUAGUCCAAUUUAUUAAAAUAAGUUCAAUUCUGAAAUUUAAUUAUUUUAUUAUCAAGAAUUAUCUAUUCAAUGACAAUAUUUA
rnacentral:lncRNA from 1 species